rnacentral:lncRNA from 1 species
GGCGUGGUGGGCCGGAGCGCGGCAUGCUGGGAGCUGUAGUCCCCUUCCCCCGCCGUCUCAGCGCCCUCCGCUAUCAUGGCCCUCAGGGUCUCUGCUCCUGUAGAGUUUCGCAACGACGUGCUGUGGGCACACGUGAGGGUGGCAGGGCUGCCCUGCCCGCUGAGUAACAGCUGAGUAACCCCCGGUGGGGAGCAGCCGCCGCUGUGGGGUGGAGCUGGAGAGAAGAGGGGCAAGGACCGCUGCGAAGCUGUAAAACGAUUUAAACACGAGUAUAGUACAACAUGCAGUACUCCACGGUCCAUCAUCACUAAAAUGGCUGGAUCAUAACCCACCAUAAGCUUUCUUCUCACCAGAAAGCAAGUAUGGAUUGGAGAGCUGAAUACAGAACAGAACUUCGUGGUGCCAGACAGACCCAAGCUACAGAACCUUUUCAAGGACAUGCAAUUGCACAGGGCCACAAACUAUCGCCCUGGCUGCUGCUCACUGCCACCUGUCCUAAGCAACUGAUCCAGCAGGAGGAAGGCAGCUGAAA